rnacentral:rRNA from 1 species
AACCUCCGCAAUGUGAGAAAUCGCGACGGGGGGAUCCCAAGUGCCAUUCUUAACGGGAUGGCUUUUCAUUAGUGUAAAGAGCUUUUGGAAUAAGAGCUGGGCAAGACCGGUGCCAGCCGCCGCGGUAACACCGGCAGCUCUAGUGGUAACAAUUUUUAUUGGGCCUAAAGCGUCCGUAGCCGGUUUAAUAAGUCUCUGGUGAAAUCCUGUAGCUUAACUGUGGGAAUUGCUGGAGAUACUAUUAGACUUGAGACCGGGAGAGGUUAGCGGUACUCCCAGGGUAGAGGUGAAAUUCUGUAAUCCUGGGAGGACCGCCUGUUGCGAAGGCGUCUAACUGGAACGGUUCUGACGGUGAGGGACGAAAGUUAGGGGCGCGAAACCGGAUUAGAUACCCGGGUAGUCCUAACUGUAAACGAUGCGGACUUGGUGUUGGGGUGGCUUUGAGCUGCUCCAGUGCCGAAGGGAAGCUGUUAAGUCCGCCGCCUGGGAAGUACGGUCGCAAGACUGAAACUUAAAGGAAUU